GACGAACGCUGGCGGCGUGCCUAAUACAUGCAAGUCGAACGAACUCUGGUAUUGAUUGGUGCUUGCAUCAUGAUUUACAUUUGAGUGAGUGGCGAACUGGUGAGUAACACGUGGGAAACCUGCCCAGAAGCGGGGGAUAACACCUGGAAACAGAUGCUAAUACCGCAUAACAACUUGGACCGCAUGGUCCGAGUUUGAAAGAUGGCUUCGGCUAUCACUUUUGGAUGGUCCCGCGGCGUAUUAGCUAGAUGGUGAGGUAACGGCUCACCAUGGCAAUGAUACGUAGCCGACCUGAGAGGGUAAUCGGCCACAUUGGGACUGAGACACGGCCCAAACUCCUACGGGAGGCAGCAGUAGGGAAUCUUUCACAAUGGACGAAAGUCUGAUGGAGCAACGCCGCGUGAGUGAAGAAGGGUUUCGGCUCGUAAAACUCUGUUGUUAAAGAAGAACAUAUCUGAGAGUAACUGUUCAGGUAUUGACGGUAUUUAACCAGAAAGCCACGGCUAACUACGUGCCAGCAGCCGCGGUAAUACGUAGGUGGCAAGCGUUGUCCGGAUUUAUUGGGCGUAAAGCGAGCGCAGGCGGUUUUUUAAGUCUGAUGUGAAAGCCUUCGGCUCAACCGAAGAAGUGCAUCGGAAACUGGGAAACUUGAGUGCAGAAGAGGACAGUGGAACUCCAUGUGUAGCGGUGAAAUGCGUAGAUAUAUGGAAGAACACCAGUGGCGAAGGCGGCUGUCUGGUCUGUAACUGACGCUGAGGCUCGAAAGUAUGGGUAGCAAACAGGAUUAGAUACCCUGGUAGUCCAUACCGUAAACGAUGAAUGCUAAGUGUUGGAGGGUUUCCGCCCUUCAGUGCUGCAGCUAACGCAUUAAGCAUUCCGCCUGGGGAGUACGGCCGCAAGGCUGAAACUCAAAGGAAUUGACGGGGGCCCGCACAAGCGGUGGAGCAUGUGGUUUAAUUCGAAGCUACGCGAAGAACCUUACCAGGUCUUGACAUACUAUGCAAAUCUAAGAGAUUAGACGUUCCCUUCGGGGACAUGGAUACAGGUGGUGCAUGGUUGUCGUCAGCUCGUGUCGUGAGAUGUUGGGUUAAGUCCCGCAACGAGCGCAACCCUUAUUAUCAGUUGCCAGCAUUAAGUUGGGCACUCUGGUGAGACUGCCGGUGACGAACCGGAGGAAGGUGGGGAUGACGUCAAAUCAUCAUGCCCCUUAUGACCUGGGCUACACACGUGCUACAAUGGAUGGUACAACGAGUUGCGAACUCGCGAGAGUAAGCUAAUCUCUUAAAGCCAUUCUCAGUUCGGAUUGUAGGCUGCAACUCGCCUACAUGAAGUCGGAAUCGCUAGUAAUCGCGGAUCAGCAUGCCGCGGUGAAUACGUUCCCGGGCCUUGUACACACCGCCCGUCACACCAUGAGAGUUUGUAACACCCAAAGUCGGUGGGGUAACCUUUUAGGAACCAGCCGCCUAAGGUGGGACAGAUGAUUAGGGUG
rnacentral:rRNA from 2 species